rnacentral:rRNA from 1 species
UACGUAGGGUGCAAGCGUUGUCCGGAAUUAUUGGGCGUAAAGAGCUCGUAGGCGGUUUGUCGCGUCUGCUGUGAAAUCUGGGGGCUCAACCCCCAGCCUGCAGUGGGUACGGGCAGACUAGAGUGCGGUAGGGGAGAUUGGAAUUCCUGGUGUAGCGGUGGAAUGCGCAGAUAUCAGGAGGAACACCGGUGGCGAAGGCGGAUCUCUGGGCCAUUACUGACGCUGAGGAGCGAAAGCGUGGGGAGCGAACAGG